CCUACGGGUGGCUGCAGUGGGGAAUAUUGGACAAUGGGCGAAAGCCUGAUCCAGCCAUGCCGCGUGUGUGAAGAAGGCCUUCGGGUUGUAAAGCACUUUCAGUGGGGAAGAAAGCCUUGGGGCUAAUACCCUCGAGGAAGGACAUCACCAACAGAAGAAGCACCGGCUAACUCCGUGCCAGCAGCCGCGGUAAUACGGAGGGUGCGAGCGUUAAUCGGAAUUACUGGGCGUAAAGCGCGCGUAGGCGGUCUGAUAAGCCGGUUGUGAAAGCCCCGGGCUCAACCUGGGAACGGCAUCCGGAACUGUCAGGCUAGAGUGCAGGAGAGGAAGGUAGAAUUCCCGGUGUAGCGGUGAAAUGCGUAGAGAUCGGGAGGAAUACCAGUGGCGAAGGCGGCCUUCUGGACUGACACUGACGCUGAGGUGCGAAAGCGUGGGUAGCAAACAGGAUUAGAUACCCGGGUAGUC
rnacentral:rRNA from 1 species